GUACACGCUGUGACUAGCAUAUCAAUAAGCGGAGGAAAAGAAACUAACAAGGAUUCCCUUAGUAACGGCGAGUGAAGCGGGAAGAGCUCAAAUUUGAAAUCUUCAAGGUUUUACCUUGACGAAUUGUAGUUUAAAGAAGUGUUUUCUGCUGAAGUUUUGGUAAAAGUUCUUUGGAAUAGGACAUCAUAGAGGGUGAGAAUCCCGUAUUUGACCAUUAUUUUCAGCUUUGUGAUACACUUUCAAAGAGUCGGGUUGUUUGGGAAUGCAGCCCAAAACGGGAGGUAAAUUUCUUCUAAGGCUAAAUAUUGGCGAGAGACCGAUAGCGAACAAGUACCGUGAGGGAAAGAUGAAAAGAACUUUGAAAAGAGAGUUAAAUAGUACGUGAAAUUGUCAAAAGGGAAGCGUUUGACACCAGUGUUGUUUUCUCGAAAAUCAAUUAAAAAUGGCUCGAUUUUGUAUUGCUGAGACCUUAAAAGCUCACUGUACAUUUUUCGUGUCUUUUUUAAUGCACUUUUCGUUUAACAAGUCAACAUCAGUUUCUUUUGUUGCUAAAAGGGUCAUUGGAAGGUGGCUUUCUUUUCGGAGAAAGUGUUUAUAGCCUUUGGCCUCUGCAAUCGAAGAGACUGAGGUCUGCAGCGUAGACUCUUCGGGGUUAGAUACAUUUGUGCUAAGUUAUAGCUUUUUAUAGGACAACUUGUUGACUAUAAUUAGUCUUGUAGCUUACUCGCUUAUGCUAUUUUACCUACGCUUAGGAUGUUGAGUAGCGACAUACGCAC
rnacentral:rRNA from 1 species